rnacentral:rRNA from 1 species
UACGUAGGUGGCAAGCGAUACUCGGAAUCACUAGGCGUAAAGCGCAGGUAGGCGGUUCGGUAAGUCUUUUGUGAAAGCUCCCGGCUCAACUGGGAGAGGUCAAGGGAAACUACCGGGCUAGAAUGUGGCAGAGGAAACUGGAAUUCCCGGUGUAGCGGUGAAAUGCGUAGAUAUCGAGAGGAACACCUGCGGCGAAGGCGGGUUGCUGGGCCGACACUGACGCUGAUGCGCGAAAGCCAGGGGAGCGAACGGG